CCUACGGGCGGCAGCAGUGGGGAAUAUUGCACAAUGGGGGAAACCCUGAUGCAGCGACGCCGCGUGAGUGAAGAAGUAAUUCGUUAUGUAAAGCUCUAUCAGCAGGGAAGAAAAUGACGGUACCUGAGUAAGAAGCCCCGGCUAACUACGUGCCAGCAGCCGCGGGAAUACGUAGGGGGCACGCGUUAUACGGAUUUACUGGGGGUAUAGGGAGCGUAGACGGCAGUGCAAGUCUGGAGUGAAAGGCGGGGGCUCAACCCCCGGACUGCUCUGGAAACUGUACGGCUGGAGUGCAGGAGAGGUAAGUGGAAUUCCUAGUGUAGCGGUGAAAUGCGUAGAUAUUGGGAGGAACACCAGUGGCGAAGGCGGCUUACUGGACUGUAACUGACGUUGAGGCUCGAAAGCGUGGGGAGCAAACAGGAUUAGAUACCCGGGUAGUC
rnacentral:rRNA from 1 species